rnacentral:rRNA from 1 species
CAGUAGCCACGGUAAUACGAAGGGUGCAAGCGUUACUCGGAAUUACUGGGCGUAAAGCGUGCGUAGGUGGUGGUUUAAGUCCGUUGUGAAAGCCCUGGGCUCAACCUGGGAAUUGCAGUGGAUACUGGGUCACUAGAGUGUGGUAGAGGAUAGUGGAAUUUCCGGUGUAGCAGUGAAAUGCGUAGAGAUCGGAAGGAACACCGAUGGCGAAGGCAGCCCCCUGGGCCAACACUGACGCUCAUGCACGAAAGCGUGGGGAGCAAACAGGAUCAGAUACCCCAGUAGUCCCUGUCUCUUAUAC